rnacentral:rRNA from 1 species
CCUACGGGAGGCAGCAGUGGGGGAUAUUGCACAAUGGGGGGAACCCUGAUGCAGCGACGCCGCGUGAGGGAAGAAGCGCCUCGGCGCGUAAAGCCCUGUCAGCAGGGAAGAAAAUGACGGUACCUGAAGAAGAAGCCCCGGCUAACUACGUGCCAGCAGCCGCGGUAAUACGUAGGGGGCCAGCGUUAUCCGGAUUUACUGGGUGUAAUGGGGGCGCAGACGGCGAUGCAAGCCAGGAGUGAAAGGCCGGGGCCCAACCCUGGGACUGCUGUUGGAACUGCGUGGCUGGAGUGUAGGAGGGGUAGGCGGAAUGCGUGGUGUAGCGGUGAAAUGCGUAGAUAUCAGGCGGAACACCGGUGGCGAAGGCGGCUUGCUGGACCAUAAAUGACGCUGAGGCACGAAAGCGUGGGGAUCAAACAGGAUUAGAUACCCUUGUAGUC